UACCGUCACAAGUCACGAAACCAAGUGAAGGGCUGCUUAGUCUUCAUUCAAUAAUCAUCCCAAGUCAGAACCUUGACCCAGAAUAACAAUCAUCCAAUCUCUUCACAAGUCUAUUGGCAGAAGGUGAAUCAUCGCAAGUGAGUCGUGAUACCAAAGGGAAGAGAGUACUUAAGAAUUAAACAGUCGAGAAGCCAAAUCAAUGGAAGCCACUUGGAGGUAAUUUUGAUUAAGGAUGAUGUUAGGCCAUCUUUUCUUACCAACACACAAAAUGUAUGUGUGUUGGCGAUAUCGACUCAAUAGGUUUAACUACCACGGGACAACAGUGAUUAUUAUGCUCUAUUGACCAAAAUGAUCUUGUAUUUUAUAACAAUACAUUACAGACACCACAACAUGUAUAUGU